UGGGGAAUAUUGGACAAUGGGGGCAACCCUGAUCCAGCCAUGCCGCGUGAGUGAUGAAGGCCUUCGGGUUGUAAAGCUCUUUUGGCGGGGACGAUGAUGACGGUACCCGCAGAAUAAGCCCCGGCUAACUUCGUGCCAGCAGCCGCGGUAAGACGAAGGGGGCAAGCGUUGUUCGGAAUUACUGGGCGUAAAGUGCGUGUAGGUGGUUGUCAUAGUCAGGCGUGAAAGCCUCGAGCUCAACUCGAGAACUGCGCUUGAUACUGGGCAGCUUGAGGACCGGAGAGGAUAGUGGAAUUCCCAGUGUAGUGGUGAAAUACGUAGAGAUUGGGAAGAACACCAGUGGCGAAGGCGGCUAUCUGGACGGUUUCUGACACUAAGACGCGAAAGCGUGGGGAGCAAA
rnacentral:rRNA from 1 species